GUUGUGGUUCCUGGGUCCAGUCAUCCGCGAAAGCUCUGUGCUCCUGCCUCUGGCCAUGCCAGUCCGGGUCCGGCAGUCAAAGGUCCAGAGUUCUGCGAUCCCUUGCAACUGAAUCAGAACAGCCAUAGGCAGUAUAGGCUUCCCCACAUCGUCAUGCCCACACGCUUCAACUUUGUCAUUGAGAACACUUCUAGAUGUGAGAGAAUAGUUCAGUCUCCAUGCACUUCAGUCCUUGGGCUCUUUGUUAAGACUGCCAACAAGAAUGCUCACUACUGACCUGGGAUGCCUUCCAACUAGUGAGGGUCCAAGUGGAAGAAAGCUUAUAUCCCCUUACGAGUUCAUUGAACUAUCCAGUCCUCCUGGUCUUUGUUCCUCCUGGUAGAAAUGAGGAAACAGCAGCAAGCA